rnacentral:rRNA from 1 species
GAUGAACGCUGGCGGCGUGCUUAACACAUGCAAGUCGAACGGGAUCCCAGGAGCUUGCUCCUGGGUGAGAGUGGCGAACGGGUGAGUAAUGCGUGACCGACCUGCCCCAUACACCGGAAUAGCUCCUGGAAACGGGUGGUAAUGCCGGAUGCUCCAGUUGACCGCAUGGUCCUCUGGGAAAGCUUUUGCGGUAUGGGAUGGGGUCGCGUCCUAUCAGCUUGAUGGCGGGGUAACGGCCCACCAUGGCUUCGACGGGUAGCCGGCCUGAGAGGGCGACCGGCCACAUUGGGACUGAGAUACGGCCCAGACUCCUACGGGAGGCAGCAGUGGGGAAUAUUGCACAAUGGGCGCAAGCCUGAUGCAGCGACGCCGCGUGCGGGAUGACGGCCUUCGGGUUGUAAACCGCUUUUGACUGGGAGCAAGCCCUUCGGGGUGAGUGUACCUUUCGAAUAAGC